rnacentral:rRNA from 1 species
UACGUAGGGUGCGAGCGUUGUCCGGAAUUAUUGGGCGUAAAGAGCUUGUAGGCGGUUUGCCGCGUCUGCUGUGAAAUCCGGGCUCAACCCGGACUUGCAGUGGGUACGGGCAGACUAGAGUGUGGUAGGGGAGACUGGAAUUCCUGGUGUAGCGGUGAAAUGCGCAGAUAUCAGGAGGAACACCGAUGGCGAAGGCAGGUCUCUGGGCCACUACUGACGCUGAGAAGCGAAAGCAUGGGGAGCGAACAGG